rnacentral:lncRNA from 1 species
UGGGACAGAAUAUGUACCCCCAAAUCAGCAUGAGGGAUGAACCUUAUUAAUCUCAUGCUCUGGAACAAAGCUGCAAUUGCAAAGACUUGCUGGGAUCUUGAUCACAAAAAGGACAAACUGUGGAUAAGAUGGAUUACUGCUUAUUAUAAAAGAUAAGCUGAUAGAGGACAUGCCAAUUCCUACACAAGCCAGCUGGAUGGUCCGGAAAAUUAUAGCCUCAAGAGAUAUACUGCAGACUUUCCAACACUGGAGGGGUCAGAUUUGUUCCGUUAGACAGUUAUACCACUUGCAACUAGGUGAUCUGCCGAGAGUUCCAUGGAAAAAUCUGAUCAUCAACAUUUCCAACACUGGAGGAGUCAGAUUUUUUCCAUUAGACAGUUAUAUCACUUACAGCUAGGUGAUCUGCCAAAAGUUCCAUGAAAGAAUCUGAUCAUCAACAAUCAGGCAAGACCAAGAACAGUCUUCAAUUUGUGGCUGGCUCUACAAGACAGGCUACCAACUAAAGACAGAUUGGCAAGAUGGGGAAUGAAUGUUGAUCAGGAGUGCAUAUUAUGCCAUAAUCACAGAGAGACCAGAGAUCAUCUUAUGCAAUCAUGCCCUUUCUCUGCUGAACUUUGGGGGCAAGUUAUGCACUGGCUACAUGAGGGUUAUCCUCCAGCUUGUACUUGGGAUCAAAAAUUACACUGGCUCAUAAGUAAAGCAAAAGAAAAAUCUUGUCGAGCAAAUAUCUUCAAAAUGGUAAUUGCUGAAGUCACUUAUGCUGUCUGGAUGGAGAGGAACUCGAGAAUUUUUAACAACACUUUUCGUAA